ACGUCAGCCUGGAAGGAGAGGGUGAAGAAACAAGAGAAAGAUCCCUCCUGGUAAAGCAAAAGCUGCCGGCUCCUCGAAUGUCAGCCACACGCACACGAGUCCCACAGGCCAGGAGGCACCCAGCUGCUCCCCGGGACAUCCGGGCACUGCCCGACGCUGCGCGGGGGCGGGGGGUGCGGGCGGGAAACAAACAUCUGCGAUUCUGCCAGGGAACGGGGUGAGGCCACCGAUGCUGGGAGUGACUUGGAAUAAGCACCCAGGGAGCUCGAGGCGGCGGACAGGCAUUCGGGGCCAGCGCCUCCGAUGCGGGGCCCCCCAGACCGACAUUCCGCUGCUGUGAGACGCUGCGCCACACCACGCGUUCGUGUGCAAACACUUCACACCGGCAGGCUGCAGAGUGGAAAGGGCCCACCCGGUAAGGACUUAAGAGGACCAGUGUAAAUGCUGAUCUCUCUGACUGAGGCCUUCUCUUCCUGAAAUGCCUGCCCCGAAGGGUCGUGCAAAUCGUAGCCACUCUGCUUGCACUUGCUGCUCCAGACAGGGUCUGUCCUCUGCCACCGUGCAUGGGUUUCAGCCUGUCAAGGAUGCCCAUGGUCCUGCUACAGCACUGCAGGUUCUGGGCCAGCUGGGCCAGGUAAACAGGUGGCCAGAGUGGAAGAGAUGAUGUAAAGAUGCGGCUUGUUUAACCUGGAGAAGAGCAGCUGGUCCAAGGGGCCACGGUCAGAAGUCUUCAAAUGCAUGCGUUGUAGGAAAAAAGAUGAAAGUGUUCUGUACAGCUUUGAGAGGUGGAAUCAAGUGGGCCCAGUGCUAGGAUUUAAGAGGUCAGAUUUUUUUUUUCUAACCAUCUUAUCCGUUUUAAAGUGUACAAUUUUGUAUUGUUAAGUAUUUUCACAUCAUUGUACGACAUCUUGCAAAACGGAAACUCUAUACCCAUUAAACACUAAUUCCCACUCACGCAAGCCCUUGGCAACCACCUUUCUACUUUCUGUCUCUAUGAUUUUUCACUAUUUUAGAUACUUCAUGUGAGUGGAAUCAUACAGUGUCUGUCCUGUUGUGACUGAUUUCUUUCACUUAGUAUACUGUGCUUAAAGUUCAACCAUAUUGUAGCAUGUGACAGGAUUUCCCUCUUUUUUUAAGGCUAUAUUUCAUUGUAUGUGUAGACCACAUUUUAUCUGUUCAUCUGUUGACUGGCAUUUGGCUUGCUUCCACCUGUUGGUUAUUGUGAAUAACGGUGCAAUAAACAUGGAUGUGCAACUAUCUCUUUGAAAUCCUGCUUUGAAUUCUUUGGGGUAUAUGCCCAGGAGUGGAAUUUCUGGAUUAUAUGGUAAUUCUAUUUUUAAUUUUUUAAGGAAAUUCCGUACUGUUUUCCAUAUGGCUGCCCCAUUUUACAUUCCCACCAACAGUGCACAAGGGUUCCAGUUUCUCCACGUCCUCAUCAACACUUAUUAUUUUCUGGUCUUGUGACAGUGCCCAUCCUAAUGCGUGUGAGGUGAUACCUCAUUGUGGU